rnacentral:misc_RNA from 1 species
UUUUUGCACACGGUCCAUUCUUUACUCCCGCCAUAGUUACCACCGACUCGAGUCAGACCGAUAUUUCAGUCAGAGUGGAUGAGGAAGCAGCAGUGUAUACAAAGAAGGUACCAGUGUAUGUUUGUUUGUAAAACCCUCAAGUAAUUUGCCUGCCAUCAGGGCAUCUGGGUUUGCUCUCAGGCAGCAGAACUGUAGGGAUGAACUUGGCAAUGUAAAGGUGAGGCCGUGAGUUUAACAUCAGGUCAAGCCUCAGUCAAUCUUGGCAGAUAUAAAAACAGAUUUGUAAGUAAAUAAACAAAGAAAUGAAAUAAAAAGGAAAACAAAAUAAGGUCAUUAACACAAUCGCUGAACAGGUAUUUGGAAGAGGGUUUUUUUUUCAUUGCCUGAUUUAUUUCUCUCCUUUGUACAUAAAGAAAUUUUCCAGUUUAAUGACACAUGCGUUAUACAUUGUAGCCUUUAUAUCAUGAGAAGAAAUAAUGUUGAGUUUGAAGAACACUGUAGACAGAUACUGGCAUGAAUAUUCACAUGAAUGUGUUGCUUAAUCCAGAAUGGAGAAUGAAAAAAACGACAGCAACUAUGGUAGUCUACUAGAAUUUUGUAUUGUAUUGAUAUUUCACUGAUUCAUGGUGUGUAUAAUAUUAGCCUUCAGAGUUUAAAAAAAAAACAGUUCCAGUUUUUGGUGAAAACAACAUUGUUACAAUCAUUUUUUAAAUUACCUACAUCAGGUUUAUUGUUAUUCAGUCUUUGUUGUAAAAUUUUAGUAUAAAAUUAAAGAAAAUAAAAUAUCUCUUGUAAUUGAUUUAGAAACACAAAGUUAUUGUUAUCUGCAUUGAUCCAGAUUUGAUAAGACUGUUUUUUUUUUCAACCACACACAUUUGGAAAAACGUUGAAACAAAACUAUACUUCAUCACAUGUAGUUCUUUAUUAGUCAAAUGUGAAGCACACUGUAUAUUUUGACAUAAUAUUUACACAUAUAAAACAUUUAACUUUGUACAUUUUAUGAGAAUUUAUUUACUUUGUGUUAAAAUUUUGUUUUUCUUUUCCUUUUUUUAAAUCGUAGGCUUAAGAAAUGCUUUGAAUUUUAACCAAAAAAAAGGGGACAUCUUGUCUCAGUGGUAAAAUCAACAAACUUUCAUUUAUUUGAGACUAAACAUGAAACAUUUUUCAUUUGUACAUACUGGAAACUUCUAUCCAUGAGUGGUUUGCUGUUUCAUUUUACAUGAGCUGUUAUGUUGCAGUCAUAUUUUCCCUACGGCGGCCGUACGGCGACUCGAAAACGGCCACUUUAUAACAUUUUUUUGACCAGCUACAUAUUGGUGGUUUGAAUAAAAAUAAAACUGCUGUUUGACAUGUCAUAUGGCUCUUGUGGGGGAAUGUGACUGCAGCAAUAAUCACAAUAAACAUGAAAUGAUUAGUGUACAUUGCUCCGCUAUACAUUCAAACAACGUAAUAUUGACAGACAUGAUGGAGCAUAUACAGUAUUACUUUUAUGCAAAGCAGAAAACGUGUCUUUGGUUAUCUGCACAAUUUGUAUUUUACACCUACAUCUACCUACAUGUAUUAUAUCAGCUUGUGUAACAUGAAAAUCAAAAUGUAUAUAUGCGAAGAGAUUAUUUCUUUAGUACUUUAUGCCCUACCAGUAGAUCACAUUUUGGCAUGAUAAAAAUGAUCAGAAUUAAAAAAAGUGAAGGCAGAAACAAAACAUUUUCUUUGUAACAACUCUUUAAUGUGUCCCAUUUGAAAGUCAUUUGAAUUUUAAAGAUCUUUUUUUUUUUUUUACAAACCUCGGUACAUUUACUGCUUAUUGUGAAAUAUUGUUUGGAAAAUUCAAAACUAUAUCAGAAUCUUUUUACAGAAAUUAAACCAUCCUGGUUGACGCUUGUACAUAAUCUGUUUAAGGUUGGUUGAGGGGACAUGUUUGUGUCAGUUUUCACAGAUUAGAUCAUGAUGUAUAUGGAUAAUAAUAUGUUUUUCUGUCUUUUUGUACUAUGUAAUUAAACAUGUCAGGUUUGUAAAUCACCCAGUCAGAUCUGCUUGUAUUUGUUACUCGGAAAAAAAAUUUGAAUUGUGCCAAUGUGAUUAAAUGUUGCUUUUGAUUCUAAACUUUA